UACGAAGGGUGCUAGCGUUGUUCGGAAUCACUGGGCGUAAAGCGCGCGUAGGCGGCGUAGCAAGUCAGAGGUGAAAGCCUGGAGCUCAACUCCAGAAUUGCCUUUGAAACUGCUAUGCUAGAGUGUCGGAGGGGAUAGCGGAAUUGCUAAUGUAGAGGUGAAAUUCGUAGAUAUUAGCAGGAACACCGGUGGCGAAGGCGGCUAUCUGGACGACAACUGACGCUGAGGCGCGAAAGCGUGGGGAUCAAACAGG
rnacentral:rRNA from 1 species